rnacentral:rRNA from 1 species
AUGAAGCUGAAGGAGACAGAGCUGGAUGACGUGAUUGUUGGCGAUGAGGAAAUCGCAGAAUUGUCGAAGGAUGCCCGGUGGCUGGCUGUUGCGAGGGUGAACACGACGAAGUUCUUCAGUGUUGAGUCCUUCAAGAACACAAUGAUUUUCGCAUGGAGACUUGCCAACGAGCCAGAGAUCCGCGAGGCAGAUGACAAUCUGUUCAUCAUCCAACUUUUCUGUCUAGGGGAUUGGAACAGAGUUAUGCACCAGGGUCCUUGGAUCUACAGGGGACUUAUGGUGGCAAUUGAAGAGUACGAUGGCAAAGGGAAACCAGAUUUGGUUCAGCUCGACCGAGUUCAUGUGUGGGCGCAAAUUCAUGAUACCCCAGAGCUCUACAGGAAGGAGAUGAUAGUAGACCAACUGGCUCGGCGCGUAGGCCAAGUGAAGAGCGUGGAGAUGAACCCUAACCGAGUUUUUGAGGGCAAC